rnacentral:lncRNA from 1 species
AGUCACCAUGUGUAUAAUUAAAAACACAGUGUUACAAUUUUUAGAACAUUCAAAAGAGAAUCAAAAGGUGCAAUCAACUAUUUUGAUAACAUAUUGUAGUAUAUAUCAUCAAAUACUUAAACAAAAAAGAAUUAUCCAAAAGUUAAACAGAAAAAAAUUAUCCAAUAGUUAAAAAAAAUAAUAUGUAAUUCUUAAAAAGUAGAAGGUGCAAUCAACUAUUUCAACUUUC